UACGGGGGGAGCAAGCGUUGUUCGGAAUUACUGGGCGUAAAGCGUGCGUAGACGGUUACAUAAGUCGGGUGUGAAAGCCCCGGGCUCAACCUGGGAAUUGCAUUCGAGACUGCGUAGCUAGGGUGCGGAAGAGGGAAGCGGAAUUUCCGGUGUAGCGGUGAAAUGCGUAGAUAUCGGAAGGAACACCAGUGGCGAAAGCGGCUUCCUGGUCCAGCACCGACGUCAGGCACGAAAGCGUGGGGAGCAAACAGG
rnacentral:rRNA from 1 species